rnacentral:rRNA from 1 species
AGUGGCGAACGGGUGAGUAACGCGUGGGCAAUCUACCCGGUAGUGGGGGAUAACCCUCCGAAAGGAGGGCUAAUACCGCAUAACCUCUUCCCUUCCCCGGAAGGGAAGAUUAAAGAUGGCCUCUGUUUUAUGCUAUCACUUCCGGAUGAGCCCGCGUCCUAUUAGUUAGUUGGUAGGGUAAUGCCCUACCAAGACCACAAUGGGUAGCCGGUCUGAGAGGAUGUACGGCCACACUGGGACUGAGAUACGGCCCAGACUCCUACGGGAGGCAGCAGUGGGGAAUAUUGCGCAAUGGGGGAAACCCUGACGCAGCGACGCCGCGUGGAUGAUGAAGGCCUUCGGGUUGUAAAGUCCUGUUCUGGGGGACGAAACCUUAAGGGUCCAAUAGGCCCUUAAGUUGACGGUACCCCAAGAGAAAGCUCCGGCUAAUUAUGUGCCAGCAGCCGCGGUAAUACAUAAGGAGCAAGCGUUGUCCGGAAUUAUUGGGCGUAAAGAGCUCGUAGGCGGUCUUAAAAGUCAGGUGUUAAAUUACCAGGCUCAACCUGGUAAAGUCAUCUGAAACUCUAAGACUUGAGGAUAGGAGAGGAAAGUGGAAUUCCCGGUGUAGCGGUGAAAUGCGUAGAUAUCGGGAGGAAUACCAGUGGCGAAGGCGGCUUUCUGGUCUAUCUCUGACGCUG